AAUUUUAUGAUUUAUUUUUCCUUCUUAUUAUGCACACUAUGUGGUUCCAAAUUUAAGUUGAAUUUUUUUCUCAAAGUUUGAUAAUUCUUUUACUUAGUCGGACCUACGUAAACUGAGGAUUCUGUUGUAUUUACUAAUAUUGCAAAAGUCCUUUGAGGAACCUGUAGGGUACUUUUAACUUUGUAUUACAAUAAAAGUGCUGUUUAGUCAUGACUGUUCAGUUUUUCUUUAUUUUUGAUAAGAAUGAUUAUUUCUAAGUGUUUAGUUUGCUCUAAUGUCAGACUUUGAUUUUUGGAUUGAUAAACUAUUGCCUUUGGAGUGAUUACCCAUGCUUGCGUUUUUGUGAACUGAAGUGACGUAGUAGUUAUGAAUGAACAAUGGAUUAACUUUGACUUACAAAUGAAUCGGCAUUAUGUGGUUGACGAGGUGGUUGUGUUUUCCUUAGUAAGGUUAAUUUCAGGAUUACAAUGACUUGGUGGUGAUGAAGGUGCAUUUGUUAGUAUGUAAUAAUGGUGGUUUUGGUGGUGGAAAUGAUAGUGGCAAUGUUAAUUGCAGGUGCUGAUGUAGGUAACAUCGAUAAUGACACCUAGUGUUGGCUUGGGCAUGUAGAUGGGAAAGUUGUGAUGUGGUGUUUGAGAGUGGUCACAAUUGCUUCUCUUCCAUCAAAUGUUAGUAUAGUUACACAAUUUGUGACAAUAUGUUAGGAGCUACGGUUUUUGGGGACACGUGUCCUAAUUUUAGAGGGUAGGGUUUACUAUAUAAAGGGUAGUUAGGGUUGUAAAAGGGAGAAAGGAAGAAAAUUAGGGUUCAGGUAGUUUUGGCUGCGGGUAGCCGUGUCGGAAUUGUGAGGUCACGACUAAUUGAAUUGUCAGUUUAUCCACUUAUGGUAAAUAUUGAACCCUCUUUAUCAAUAAAAUUCCUUCAUUUUAGUUGCUUUUGGGUGAGUUUACUUUUUUGAUUGAUUGAAUAUUGGAUUGGUUUCUAACAUUUUGGUAUCAAAGCGGUGAGAUUUGGGGUUUCUGGUGCAAUUUUGUCAUGGAAGAAUGCGAAUUGCCACAGGAAAAGCUGAAUCAAUGGUGAAGUGGUCUGCUACCAAAGAAAAGAAAAAUCCAAUUUUCACGCCUUAAAGACAAGGUGAUUCUCAAAGGGGCAAGUGAUGUUAGGAGCUAGGGCUUUUGGGACACACAUCCCAAUUUUAGAGGGCAGGCUUUCGUACAUUAAGGGUAGUUAGGGCUGUAAAACGAAGGAAGAAAUUUAAGGUUUAGGCAGCUUUGGCUAUGGGCAGUAUUUUAGGCUGAUUCGAGAGGUUUUGGCGCCUUGAAUAACCAGAAUUGGGAGGCUCCGACUCUUCGGAUUGCUGGUUUAUCCACGUAUUGUAAAUAUUGAACCCCUUUUAUCAAUAAAAUAGCCAUUUCCUUCA